rnacentral:rRNA from 1 species
GGGGACGUAACAAAGCGACCCAGGAAUGCUUGGGCGUGCCUCCACCCACGCCGGCGUCGGCGGGCGUAUUUCGCCUCACAGUAGGUCGCCGCGACCCGUUGCUUUUGGGGACGUCGAAGGCCCGGACGGAUUGGUACCCUACCGGCUGGGGAUGCGGCUUCGGCUUCUCCUCUUGUCCGGUGGGCGAAACCGCCGGUGUCCUGGCUGCCCUGCGACGGUCGUAGAGACGAGCCCUCCCCCAUUCGUGGGGGGCGGCUCUCGCGGCGUGCAAAAGGUCGGUGAUCCACCCGACCCGUCUUGAAACACGGACCAAGGAGUCUAACAUGUGUGCGAGUCAGUGGGCGCACUAAACCCAGAGGCGUAAUGAAAGUGACACGGGUUCGGCUGUCGCCUCGUGUGGCAGCCGGACUCAGGGCCGAUCCCUCACCGGUUGCCCUCGCCUCUCUCCCGCGUCUCGGUAAGCCGGGUGAGCUAUUUUCCCCGGCCAAUGCUGCGGGGCUCGGGGGGAGGCGGGGUUGCGAUGGUGUCCGUAAAAAAGAGCCUGCUGUUGCAGGGGGGCGCAGGCCCGGGACUUGCCAGGACGCCGCGAGACUGUCACUUUGCUGUGAGGCUCCAGGGCCGAUCAGCGGGUCAUGCGUGCAGUCGGCAAGUACCAUGAGCAGACAUGUUGGGACCCGAAAGAUGGUGAACUAUGCCUGGCCAGGAUGAAGCCAGAGGAAACUCUGGUGGAGGUCCGUAGCGAUUCUGACGUGCAAAUCGAUCGUCGGAGCUGGGUAUAGGGGCGA